AUUCAUAGCUAUAGGUCGACCAGUGUGCCAGUCUUCCCUGGGGGAGUGUCAGAUGUGGAAGAGGAAGCAAUGGCCACAAUGCAUGGCAUAAAACAGCCUUGUACGCAGAACUGAAAGCAAAAUCAAAAUCCUCACCAGACAAACGGAAGCCGCAUACACACAAAAAAACAAAGAGCCCUAGGCUCAGACGGACGUCCAAGUCCCCCUAAGCUGGUGGUGGCCUUGGUCAAAGCGGCACCUCACAAAUGGGAUGUUUUUAGUAGAAAAUCCCCAGACGGGAAUGAAAGGUUCUCCAAAGGGACCAGGUCUAGUGGCCUUGGUGUGCAAGCCUGGCAAUUUACCAGAAGUGCUGGCAGAGGAGUUCCAAAGUCCCAGAUGCUACUUUUCUGCUUCCUGAUAUUAAUUCCUUGAUCUGGAAGUCCAGGGUGGUCAAGAUAGGAGAAGAGAGGAAUGUCCUUCAGACACACACCUCCUGGACACAGUCCUCUGAAACCAGAAGCCCACUGCCUCUAACAGCAAAUACAUACGGAAACAUUUCCCUUGACCCGUGGGAGAAGCCAGGAUGGAAACUUCAACCACCGCAAAGGACCUUGACCUUGAAUUCUUAAAGCAUCUAAAAGCUUCAGAAACAAACACUUCGUGGACACAGUCCCCUGAAGCCAGAGGCCCACUGCCUCUAACAGCAAAUACAUACGGAAACAUUUCCCUU
rnacentral:lncRNA from 1 species